GACGAACGCUGGCGGCGUGCUUAACACAUGCAAGUCGAGCGGUAAGGCCCUUUCGGGGGUACGACGAGCGGCGAACGGGUGAGUAACACGUGGGUGACCUGCCCUCAGCUCUGGGAUAAGCCUGGGAAACUGGGUCUAAUACCGGAUAUGACCCCAUGACGCAUGUCGUGGGGUGGAAAGCCUUGUGCGGCUGAGGAUGGGCCCGCGGCCUAUCAGCUUGUUGGUGGGGUGAUGGCCUACCAAGGCGACGACGGGUAGCCGGCCUGAGAGGGCGACCGGCCGACACUGGGACGUGAGACACGG
rnacentral:rRNA from 1 species